AGUUUACAAUGCUGUUUCAGCUGACAAAUGCUGAAUUCCCAGGAUGUGGCUUGGAGAAAUUUAUAUGAGUGUAUGGUUCUACAAGAUUUUUAUAAAGCUACAUAGAGUACUUAUUCUCCUGAAUGCUUUGUGGAGCUACAGAAACCUGAACCGGUGUUUGAAAUGACAAGUGAAGUCUUGAUCCCACUGACCUGAAUGGCAAAACUCCCACUGUCUUCAAUAAGCCACAUUGCAGCUGAAGGCCAAGGCAUAAUUCACUGAAGUGUUUCCUGAAGCUUACUUGAUUAUGGACAUGAGAAAACUAAAAAGCUGUUUUGCCAUACUUAUUGUGUAGUCUUGUGCUCAGACUGUGAUCAAGGCAGAUUCUCAUAUUUUCAUAGUUAAUUUUGAUUCUCAUUUUAUAUGCAUUUCAUGGGAAAACAUGAAACAAAUUGUAUGUAACCAUAGAUUUCCUUAAAUUACAAAUGAAGUGCAGAUCUCGGUUUCUCAGCUAGAAAACAGCUCAUUCUUCAUCUUAGGAAAAUCUAAAUAAAUUGGGAUAGA